GAGCUGAGCAGCAGCAUCACAGCUGGAGGGCUGGACAUGGAUGACCAGCUCCUCACUUCCAGGUGUUUCCACAUCAAGCAUCCUGCAGAGAGCUAACAAGUUCAUUCUACAAAGUACAGUUCUCACCACUUUAUCCUUCCCCUGCUCGGAAACAGUCAAUGGUUCCCCACUGUCCACAGGGGAUGCUUAACGUAUGUGGGUUAUGCAGCUAGAAAGACAAGGCACAACCUCUUUGGUCUCCGCCUCUUUUCGUGGCACAGACACCAAAAGAUUAAGUAUCAUCAUUGAUUUAAAGAGCACAAAGUUUGAAGAAAAUGCUUCCCCCAGACAUUCGGCAAGGAUACAGCUUUCCUCUAUUAUGCCCAGGCAGCCACCUCUGAAAGCUCCCUAGAAUAUAACUCAAGAGCGGCACCCACAAUCCCUGAGCAUCUUGUUCCUCUCCAGCCAUACAAAGGGAUGACAACAACAUGGAUCCAGCAACCAGAAGAUGACUAAGUAACCCUUGCAAACAAGGCUGCAAAGGAUAGGUACUUCAUCAAACACUAAAGACUGCUACUUUUCAGGAAUGGUGGUCCUAAAUGCCAAAGACGUUUCAGAGCCACUUGUCAAUUGUAACUCAGGACACCAUUCAAACUAAGAAUACGGAACUAAGUUGAGUAACCCACACCCUUCCUGGAACUCACAAACUAGAGAAACAGCCAGGGCAGAACCACCAGGCUCCUGAGCCUGAUGGAAAGGCAGGGUCUGACUCCACAGCUGGCACUCCUCAAGGGGAUACCCGAAGAGAGCUUCCCCAGAGCUGGGGCUGAUCCCAGGAGUCAGGUCAGCCACCAUUGGAGCACUAGGCAGGUGCCCUGCUGGCAUCUGUCUGAGGGCUGCUGUUGGAGAUGCCUGGGCCUCUAAUGAAGUGCCAGCCCGUCACAGAAGCAGACACUGGGCACAACUGCGAAGACCCCCUGGACCCCAGCCCCAACUGAACCCACCUUCCUCUCAGCAGCAGUCUCCAAACUCAGUGAUGGCCCACACUACUGAUAAAAAGACUGGGGGCAUGUUCCUCCCAUAAUGCCCGUUCACUACUUAUAAGUUAGCUAUGUCUUCUGUGGUAUUCACACACUAAAAACAUUAUAAAAUGGCCCAAGAUACAUGUAAAUAGGAGUGGUAAUAUUUAGUUUCCAUCCUCCAAAUGGCUUUUUUUUUUUUUUAUUGUUUUGCUGACAGCCCACACUAGAGACC